GUACAGAGUCAAUGUGGAGGCUAUAUACAGGGUAUUACGGUACAGAGUCAAUGUGGAGGCUAUAUACAGGGUAUUACGGUACAGAGUCAAUGUGGAGGCUAUAUACAGGGUAUUACGGUACAGAGUCAAUGUGGAGGCUAUAUACAGGGUAUUACGGUACAGAGUCAAUGUGGAUGCUAUAUACAGGGUAUUACGGUACAGAGUCAAUGUGGAGGUUAUAUACAGGGUAUUAAGGUACAGAGUCAAUGUGGAGGCUAUAUACAGGGUGUUACGGUACAGAGUCAAUGUGGAGGCUAUAUACAGGGUGUUACGGUACAGAGUCAAUGUGGAGGCUAUAUACAGGGGGUACCUGUACAGAGUCAAUGUGGAGGCUAUAUACAGGGGGUACAGAGUCAAUGUGGAGGCUAUAUACAGGGGGUACCUGUACAGAGUCAAUGUGGAGGCUAUAUACAGGGGGUACCUGUACAGAGUCAAUAUGGAGGCUAUAUACAGGGGGUACCAGUACAGAGUCAAUGUGGAGGCUAUAUACAGGGGUACUGGUACAGAGUCAAUGUGGAGGCUAUAUACAGGCGGUACCUGUACAGAGUCAAUGUGGAGGCUAUAUACAGGGGGUACCGGUACAGAGUAAAUGUGGAGGCUAUAUACAGGGGGUACCGGUACAGAGUAAAUGUGGAGGCUAUAUACAGGGGGUACCGGUACAGAGUAAAUAUGGAGACUAU
ensembl:lncRNA